rnacentral:lncRNA from 1 species
UCCUAAUGGCUCUCGAGUGCAAACAAGAACUCAGUGCGCAGCUGCCCACCCAACAUGGUUUGAUGCUUGGAUAGUGGAUACACCAGCAUCCGGCAAAAACUAAAGUAGAAGACCAGGAAUACUUUCCCUUUCACCUGUUUAGUGCUCAGUCCGUGUCUUUUGCCUUCAUACCGGAGUUUUGUGAAGGCUGGCUGUUGAGAUCAACUGAUUGGUGUCAAAAACAAGAAAAAGUUCAUCCCAAGAGUUGACUGGUGGCACAGGGGUUAAUCGGGCUGGGAGCUGAGAGCCACUGGAGGCAUGACUGCACACUUGCUGUCUAUAAUUCAAACUGUUGCACUGCCUUCUUUGAUGUCGAG